AUACUUACCUGGCAGGGGAGAUAUCAUGAUCACAAAGGUGGUUUUCCCAGGGGGAGGCUUAUCCUUUGCACAAGAGAAGGAUCACAUAUACACAUGAUCACAAAGGUCACAAAGAGGACAGUACAUCC
rnacentral:snRNA from 1 species